AGGUCAACCAGCAACAGCAACAGGCAGUGAUCUAGCAAGGUGAAGGCUGAAUUUGGAGAAACCAGGAAGGAGAAUCUGAUGGAGCAGGUGAGACACAGUCACCUGUGAACCUCUAAAGGGAGCAGGAGGGUGUAGAGCUGGUCCAGUGUUCCCUGGCCAGGACGGAAGCCAAACUGCUCCUUCUGAAGGUUCAACUGCCUAUUCUUUGUUCAACUAUGUUCUUGGUUCUGGGAUGUCAAAACCUCUUGCUGUCAAUGCACUGAGGUUUCUUCUCAACAAGUAAAUGAUCAAUGGAAAUGUUGACUGAACCUUUCAGAUGCCUAUCUAGGGUGGACCAGAUGGACUUUGGAUCUACAGGUCUUAUGAUCUUCAGCAGUUACCAGGAGAACAGCAGCUCUCUGAUCAACAAUAAGGCCUGAAAAGCAUCUCCACCUUCAUCCAAAGAGGAAGACGAGUGUAGCUUAAGGGGGUUGCCGUUGGGAAUUAUUAUUUGAUAUGAAAGGCAGCAAAUGUUUCAGUUGAUGACAUCAUUAAAAGUUCUAAACUAGCAGCAGCAAAAGCAGGAAACAAGGGGUUCCUAGAUUUGGUCCCUCAGAACAAAACUGUGAAGGCCAACUGGUUCAAG